CCUACGGGUGGCAGCAGUGAGGAAUAUUGGUCAAUGGACGAGAGUCUGAACCAGCCAAGUAGCGUGAAGGAUGACUGCCCUAUGGGUUGUAAACUUCUUUUAUAUGGGAAUAAAACGUUCCACGUGUGGGAUUUUGUAUGUACCAUAUGAAUAAGGAUCGGCUAACUCCGUGCCAGCAGCCGCGGUAAUACGGAGGAUCCGAGCGUUAUCCGGAUUUAUUGGGUUUAAAGGGAGCGUAGGUGGAUUGUUAAGUCAGUUGUGAAAGUUUGCGGCUCAACCGUAAAAUUGCAGUUGAGACUGGCAGUCUUGAGUACAGUAGAGGUGGGCGGAAUUCGUGGUGUAGCGGUGAAAUGCUUAGAUAUCACGAAGAACUCCGAUUGCGAAGGCAGUUCACUGGACUGCAACUGACACUGAGGCUCGAAAGUGUGGGUAUCAAACAGGAUUAGAUACCCUUGUAGUC
rnacentral:rRNA from 1 species